GACGAACGCUGGCGGCGUGCUUAACACAUGCAAGUCGAACGGAAAGGCCCUGCUUUUGUGGGGUGCUCGAGUGGCGAACGGGUGAGUAACACGUGAGUAACCUGCCCUUGACUUUGGGAUAACUUCAGGAAACUGGGGCUAAUACCGGAUAGGAGCUCCUGCUGCAUGGUGGGGGUUGGAAAGUUUCGGCGGUUGGGGAUGGACUCGCGGCUUAUCAGCUUGUUGGUGGGGUAGCGGCUUACCAAGGCUUUGACGGGUAGCCGGCCUGAGAGGGUGACCGGCCACAUUGGGACUGAGAGACGGCCCAGACUCCUACGGGAGGCAGCAGUGGGGAAUAUUGCACAAUGGGCGGAAGCCUGAUGCAGCAACGCCGCGUGCGGGAUGACGGCCUUCGGGUUGUAAACCGCUUUCGCCUGUGACGAAGCGUGAGUGACGGUAAUGGGUAAAGAAGCACCGGCUAACUACGUG
rnacentral:rRNA from 1 species